rnacentral:lncRNA from 1 species
CUAAAGGAUCCCCCAAGGCCAGUCCCCCAGCCCUAAGCUGACAAGCCCCCAGAGCAGCUGCCAUGGCUUGGAGCACGAUGGCCCACUGCUGCCCUGACUCAGGUUCUAAGUAAGGGCCUACGGGGACCCCCCCUUUGUUUACAGAUGGGCCUCAGGCCCAGGCAGCAGGUCUGGAGUGGUCCCCAAGAUCCAGCAUUUCCAACACGCUCCCAGGUGACAUCGAUGCUGCAGCUGGUCUUCCGACCACACCUGGAGUAGCAAGAUUCUACAGCAGCACCACCAAGAGAAAUACAAGCCACCUAUUCUUCAAACCCUGGGGUGCAUUUUACACUCACAGCACAUCUCCAUCUGGACAAGCCACAUUUCAAGUGCUCAGUAGCCACAUGUGGCUAGUGGCUACCAUAUUGGACAGCAGAGCUCCAGAAGAUGGGAGGAAA